rnacentral:rRNA from 1 species
GAUGAACGCUGGCGGCGUGCUUAACACAUGCAAGUCGAACGGUGAAGGCGGAGCUUGCUCUGCUGGAUCAGUGGCGAACGGGUGAGUAACACGUGAGCAAUCAGCCCCUGACUCUGGGAGAUGCGCUGGAAACGGAGUCUAAUACUGGAUAAGAGCUGCGAAGGCAUCUUCAGCAGCUGGAAAGAAUGUCGGUCAGGGAUGGGCUCGCGGCCUAUCAGCUUGUUGGUGAGGUAGUGGCACACCAAGGCGACGACGGGUAGCCGGCCUGGGAGGGGGACCUGCCCCACCGCGACUGAUACACGGCCCAGACUCCUCCGGGAGGCAGCAGUGGGGAAUAUUGCACAAUGGGCGAAAGCCUGAUCCAGCAACGCCGCGUGAGGGACGACGUCCAUCGGGUUGUAAACCUCUGCUAGCAUGGAAGAAGCGAUAGUGACGGUACCUGCAGAAUAAGCGCCGGCUAACUACGUG